GGGGAUUUAGCUCAGUGGUAGAGCGCUUGCCUUGCAAGUACAAGGCCCUGGGUUCAGUCCUCA
rnacentral:tRNA from 1 species